rnacentral:siRNA from 1 species
UUAAAAAUUGUAAGGAGUCCUUA